rnacentral:rRNA from 1 species
GACGAACGCUGGCGGCGUGCCUAAUACAUGCAAGUAGAACGCUGAAGAGAGGAGCUUGCUCUUCUUGGAUGAGUUGCGAACGGGUGAGUAACGCGUAGGUAACCUGCCUGGUAGCGGGGGAUAACUAUUGGAAACGAUGGCUAAUACCGCAUAAAAUUGAUUAUUGCAUGAUAAUUAAUUGAAAGAUGCAAUUGCAUCACUACCAGAUGGACCUGCGUUGUAUUAGCUAGUUGGUGAGGUAGCGGCUCACCAAGGCGACGAUACAUAGCCGACCUGAGAGGGUGAUCGGCCACACUGGGACUGAGACACGGCCCAGACUCCUACGGGAGGCAGCAGUAGGGAAUCUUCGGCAAUGGGGGGAACCCUGACCGAGCAACGCCGCGUGAGUGAAGAAGGUUUUCGGAUCGUAAGGCUCUGUUGUAAGAGAAGAACGGGUGUGAGAGUGGAAAGUUCACACUGUGACGGUAUCUUACCAGAAAGGGACGGCUAACUACGUGCCAGCAGCCGCGGUAAUACGUAGGUCCCGAGCGUUGUCCGGAUUUAUUGGGCGUAAAGCGAGCGCAGGCGGUUAGAUAAGUCUGAAGUUAAAGGCUGUGGCUUAACCAUAGUAUGCUUUGGAAACUGUUUAACUUGAGUGCAGAAGGGGAGAGUGGAAUUCCAUGUGUAGCGGUGAAAUGCGUAGAUAUAUGGAGGAACACCGGUGACGAAAGCGGCUCUCUGGUCUGUAACUGACGCUGAGGCUCGAAAGCGUGGGGAGCAAACAGGAUUAGAUACCCUGGUAGUCCACGCCGUAAACGAUGAGUGCUAGGUGUUAGGCCCUUUCCGGGGCUUAGUGCCGCAGCUAACGCAUUAAGCACUCCGCCUGGGGAGUACGACCGCAAGGUUGAAACUCAAAGGAAUUGACGGGGGCCCGCACAAGCGGUGGAGCAUGUGGCUUAAUUCGAAGCAACGCGAAGAACCUUACCAGGUCUUGACAUCCCUCUGAUCGCUCUAGAGAUAGAGUUUUCCUUCGGGACAGAGGUGACAGGUGGUGCAUGGUUGUCGUCAGCUCGUGUCGUGAGAUGUUGGGUUAAGUCCCGCAACGAGCGCAACCCCUAUUGUUAGUUGCCAUCAUUCAGUUGGGCACUCUAGCGAGACUGCCGGUAAUAAACCGGAGGAAGGUGGGGAUGACGUCAAAUCAUCAUGCCCCUUAUGACCUGGGCUACACACGUGCUACAAUGGCUGGUACAACGAGUCGCAAGCCGGUGACGGCAAGCUAAUCUCUGAAAGCCAGUCUCAGUUCGGAUUGUAGGCUGCAACUCGCCUACAUGAAGUCGGAAUCGCUAGUAAUCGCGGAUCAGCACGCCGCGGUGAAUACGUUCCCGGGCCU